rnacentral:ncRNA from 1 species
UACCUGGUUGAUCCUGCCAGUAGUCAUAUGCUUGUCUCAAAGAUUAAGCCAUGCAAGUCUAAGUACGAGCUCUCGUACAGUGAAACUGCGAAUGGCUCAUUAAAUCAGUUAUGGUUCAUUUGAUCGUACAGUUUACUUGGAUAACUGUGGUAAUUCUAGAGCUAAUACAUGCGAGAAGCGCCGACCUCGCGGGAGGCGUGCAUUUAUCAGACCAAAAAACGGCCGCGUCUUCGGGCGCGUUUGCGUUG